ACUGAGGCUAGAAUCAGGCUUGGGUACUAGCUAUUGCCUUAGUGUGCUAGAGUCCUCAAAGGAUACUGGCAGUGGGCUUUGUGACACAGUCAGUAGGUGACAUGU
rnacentral:snoRNA from 1 species